GCUGUCAACAUGCAGUGGAAAUCAGGCGAUUUUGGAAGGGCUGACCCCCAAAUGGACCAUGGAAUCUAGCUGUCUUCAUGGAUGCAACUUAUCACAUGCUGAUGCUGCUUUUAGAGUAGGCUAUCCAUUCAAAAAUAAAGUAAACUGUCAAA